GAUGAACGCUGGCGGUAUGCUUAACACAUGCAAGUCGAACGGACUCUUCGGGGUUAGUGGCGGACGGGUGAGUAACGCGUGAGAAUCUGGCUUUGGGUUCGGGACAACCACUGGAAACGGUGGCUAAUACCGGAUGUGCCGAGAGGUAAAAGAGAAAUUGCCUGAAGAUGAGCUCGCGUCUGAUUAGCUAGUUGGUGAGGUAAAGGCUCACCAAGGCAGCGAUCAGUAGCUGGUCUGAGAGGAUGACCAGCCACACUGGGACUGAGACACGGCCCAGACUCCUACGGGAGGCAGCAGCGGGGAAUUUUCCGCAAUGGGCGAAAGCCUGACGGAGCAAUACCGCGUGAGGGAAGAAGGCUCUUGGGUUGUAAACCUCUUUUCUUAGGGAAGAACAAAAUGACGGUACCUAAGGAAUCAGCAUCGGCUAACUCCGUG
rnacentral:rRNA from 1 species